rnacentral:rRNA from 1 species
UGGGGAAUCUUGCGCAAUGGGCGAAAGCCUGACGCAGCGAUGCCGCGUGCGGGAUGAAGGCCUUCGGGUUGUAAACCGCUUUCAGCAGGGACGAAAUUGACGGUACCUGCAGAAGAAGCCCCGGCCAACUACGUGCCAGCAGCCGCGGUAAUACGUAGGGGGCGAGCGUUGUCCGGAUUUAUUGGGCGUAAAGAGCUCGUAGGCGGUUCGGUAAGUCGGAUGUGAAAUCUCCACGCUCAACGUGGAGAGGCCAUUCGAUACUGCCGUGCAUCGAGUCCGGUAUGGGAGUGUGGAAUUCCCGGUGUAGCGGUGAAAUGCGCAGAGAUCGGGAGGAACACCCGUAGCGAAGGCGGCACUCUGGGCCGGUACUGACGCUGAGGAGCGAAAGCGUGGGGAGCAAACAGG